rnacentral:rRNA from 1 species
UGUAUUCUACCCUUGUUUGUCAUAUACUAUUAUUUCCUCGGCAGGCUUGCCUGCCGAGUGAAACCAUUUAUAACCUUUUUAAUUUUCAAUCAGCGUCUGAAAAAAAUUAAUAAUUACAACUUUCAACAACGGAUCUCUUGGUUCUGGCAUCGAUGAAGAACGCAGCGAAAUGCGAUAAGUAGUGUGAAUUGCAGAAUUCAGUGAAUCAUCGAAUCUUUGAACGCACAUUGCGCCCCUUGGUAUUCCAUGGGGCAUGCCUGUUCGAGCGUCAUUUGUACCUUCAAGCUUUGCUUGGUGUUGGGUGUUUGUCCCGCGGGACUCGCCUUAAAGUAAUUGGCAGCCAGUGUUUGGUUUUGAAGCGCAGCACAAGUCGCGAUUCAAGGCUACACGCCCGCUUCCACAAGCCUUUUUUCACUUUUGACCUCGGAUCAGGUAGGGAUACCCGCUGAACUUAAGCAUAUCAAU